UCCACAGCUCAGGGGGUGGAUGUCUCCCUGGCAACUGGACAGAUGCUGCGCCGAAGACAUUGCUGUUCUGCUCCUCAGACGCACCCACAGCACACACACUACUAUUUGUGAUGUUCACCCUUCGUUUUAACCCUGGGGAAGACCAGUGGACCAAGGAGGCUUCUGUGUUUCAUGCAUUGUUAGGUUAGCUAGGCGCUCUCCACAGCCGACUCCUGCCAGUCCUGCCCAGCGUCCGUGAGUGAAUAAACCUGCUGAUCCGUGGAGAUCCAAAGCUUCCCAUGGGAGUAUGAUGGAAAAUAAUAUCAAAACCAACUGGUGCAGUAUCACCAAAGGGAGCUGGCUUAUCCUUUUUUCGAUGUCGAUUUAAUGUGAUUGCAUAUAAGAAGAAGAAAUAAGAGGCAGUCGCGUUCAUUCUCUGCAGCACUAUUUAUAUUUGGAAUGCCUAUAGGAAAUGAGUUGAUGGAGCAGAAAAACAAACAAGUGGUUGUUGGGUUUUUUUGCAUUCCAAACACUUGUGCGUCACCAUGCUGACAGCUUGCUUCAUAGCCCCAGAAAGCAAAAAAAAUAAAGGAGAAAAAAAAGGAGGGUUUUGGAAAUGAGCAGGUCCAGAUUGAGAUUUCCAUUAUCUCAUGCUUGAUCGCCUCUCAAAUUGCAAUAUUUCGCCGGGACAAAUCUGUUCGUUCAUGCUUUGCAAGUUUUAGGUUGGAUCGUCUCAUUCCGUGCCCUAACCGAAAAGUCAUUUUGUGGGUUGUUUUACGAAAUCACGUUGUGCAGAAAUGAGCCAUUACUUACACUAAUAUGACACAGAGCUCAUUCUGACCACAGGCCCUGUAUUUCCCGGCCUCAUUGAAGCAAGUCAUAUUUACAUGAUAAAGACUUAUUCAUCUACCAGACCUGCUUAUAUCUACAGUCCCCUCCAAGCCUUUUAUCGGGUAGAAUGUAAAACUGCCCCCCCCCCCCCGCAACGCUCCUGAGAUCCAAGACACUACUGGCAGGGCACGAUCAUCUCAUUAUGCCAAAUGCUGAAUUUUUAAUGGGUCAUUACAGUCUGCGUUUGUCCAGCAGUGGUUUAGUCAGUGCAAACAGGUGGACUAGUCUGUCAGGUCACAGUCUGCACAGGCAAAAUGUCUCCACUGAUUCCCCCGUCUAUAUCCUGUCUGCCAAAUGAAAACACAACACACAUACAAAAAAAAACCCUCAGGGAAUAAAAGCUCACUGCCGCCAUAUCAGAGCCAGAUCUUGACCCCUAAUGUCCUUGUGGAGUUGUUGCGAGACUGACGGCACCUUUCAGAAGCCAUCAAUUCAUUUCAGGGUGAGGCCAGAGCUAAUUUCAGCAGCCCUCAAAGGAGUUGCUGAUAUAAUAGAUUAGAGAGAACGACAUUAUAGGCCCCACUGUGCUCCACUGUGCCAUUAGCCUUGUUUGUACUGCAUUACUGAUUCAAUCUUAUUCAAAUGUACUCUGGCAAUUAGGCCCUACAGUAAUUAUAGGGAAUGAUUGUAUUAAUGCAAACUUGAAAAUUGUGAAUUGAUGAAUGCAGGGUUAAGGAGUAACUUCCAAAUUCAUCUCUCGCAUUUGUUCAUAGUUUUUUUCUGCCGCGGUUCGCUGUACAUCAGAGAAAUGUGGAUCAGUGUCAGAGAGCGAGCACCAAGUGCAAGAGACCAUUAAGUCUUAAGAGCCUCGCAGUAGAUAUCGGUACAGAGAGAGAGGGAGAGAGAACGAUGGGUAGGAGAAAGAGAGGCCGCAGUGUUCAAUCAAUAUUCAAACUGCAAAAUGAAUUUGACUGGAGCGAGAACUUCUCAUCAAAUGGGAAAAGAAAUUGGAUAUGAAAGAUGACCUGCCAUAAAAUCCGAUAUCCCACAAUGCCAUCUGUCAGACAGCGACCAGAGAAUAAUGACAACGGCUAAUGAAAGUUGAGCCCCCGGUUCGGCGGCGGUUUAAAUCAGCUCCUCGCAGCGGUUGCCUGGCUGUGCUGACUCAGUGCUCUGUCCUCUGUCCGACCCCGGCUGGGGGCCACAGAACAAGAGGGCGGGAAACACCUGACAUUUCCCCCCCAAACAGCUUCAAACCAGAGCAGACCAGGGAUCGGGUAGUUUGUGAUGUUACUCUGGUCCUGGCAGAGGACGCCGGCCAACAGGGAUGUCAGAGGUCAGGUCAGCAACAGGAGAGCCCUUGUGGACAUGAAGGAUGCGUCAACAAUGUAGGAGCUUGUUGACUUGGAGGCUUCAACAUUAGCCUCCCAGCCGAUGGACAGUCUGAGUACUCACUCUGCCACCCUGCACCAAGUACAUGAUGUGCUGGAUGAAAAAUUGCUUCUGAUUGAUGUCAGGUACAAUAUAUAUUUUUUUUUCAUGUGUGCCCCUUUUCAGUCUCUCGACUCACAUUGGAAUUUGUUGCUUUUGAAUUCCAAUCCUAGUUCUGACAACGGACAGUUCCUCCCAAUAGGAUCUUGUGCAACAUGGAACAAUAGACCUCCAUUACUGGCCAAGUGCUCUGAUGGCUGAAGAGUUACAGCACAUGGUUUAUGUCGAAGGUUUGAUCCUGGCCAUGGGCUUUUAUAUUCUCUCUCUCUCUGCCCCAUUUUUCAAUUCUGCCACUUCAUUGUUGUCAAAUAAAGGCAAAUUAGCAAAAAAUAAAAAUCCCCCAAAAAACCCACACAAACAUACUGAGGGGCCACACCAUGGAACACAGCCCCAGCGGCUAAAAUUUGUCCUUAGCAGUGUUCCCUCCCAUUCAAUGUUUGCUAAACACUACAUUGCCAAGCUGAUUUAGUUGUAGCAAUAGCGGGAGCAAUUUGCUGAGCAACAGUUGCAUCGGCGGCCACAAGCUCCAGCUAUCAAUCGCUUGACCAGAGCUCUAAGUGUGUAGCCCCACUCACUAAAUUCAAACACAGCCGAACAGCAUAUAUUGCUCAUAAUCCCAGGGUUCCCAGAACCGGAAGUGCAGUCGUGCUAACACAGACCUCACACUCUGUUUAUCUUGAUAGUUCCUUGCUGAAUUUCGUAGAUGAAUGCUGGUUUUUAAUGAUGUCUAAUUCUUUUGAACAGAUCUGCAGAUCUGCCAUUUCCCCUUGAACUUACUGGGCCUGAUUUAGACAGUGUAAGUCGCUGACCAUGACUCGGUUACACUUCUCGUGGGACAUUGGGCAUGAAAGAAGCAGCAUCAUCCCCUCUAUUACAAGUCAAUGUAUUAUCAUAUUUUGAUUUGAAGCGUCUCUUUUAAUGGAAAAUACAUAGUUGUGACCCAAUGUUUAAAGAUUUACAUCUUCAGUAUGAAAAAUAGGCUUCGGGCUGUGUGCCAAAGGGGAAGGAGACUGCAAAAUACUGAGAAAACAUUGUUGCUUUUGGUCUAUUCAUGAAAUCUAUUCACUGUACUGAACAUAAACCAACACCAGCAUCAUCCUUUAACCAGAACCGUUGCUUUGAAUAACAGGAAGUAUGUGUUUCAGCCAUCAGAACCCAACCCUAACCUUGACAGACAAAAGAAUGAAUAUGAUGAUGAAUAUUGACAAAGGAGUGGAAUAUUCCGAAAAUAAUGAUGUUUCAUGCCGUUGUGUUAGAAUUGUUUCCCUGAAAGAUGACCUGCACUGCUUGAAUGUGUAAAGGCAUGGAAGGAUUGUCUGUCUCUAUAAAUGUGUUGUUUGACUUUUGCUGCUAAAGUCAGAAAGGUGAUGUUUUUUUUUAACUUGUGUGCACAAGAUUAAUAAAAUAGCACUUUUCGUUGAGUUUAAUUGCUACAUAGCUAUGAGAUUAUGACUGCAAGAGGGAAAUGCACGUCAAAGUGCGGUUAUCUCUGACAAAUAUAUAUAUUGACAUAUUUUUCAUUUCAUUUCCUUUUUAAAUUGGAUCUUUUCUGUUUUCAACUGAGCACACAAAUGUAUUAGAGAAACACGUCCAAGUCAACAAAGGAGAGUGGCUGUGAAGUUGGACAGUCUUUUAAGUUGUCCUUUGGCUUUGUCCUUCCACUUAAUCUUCAUCAAAUGUUCCAACCUUCAAAGCUGACAUUCCACGGGACAAAACAAUAAACCAAAUUCCAUGAUGA